UUGGGUUAACAUAAAUAUUAGGGCUGCAAUUUAAGAUUAUUUUUGACCACAAAUCAAAAUUUAGAUUUAGUUUACAAAGAUAUUCAUAAUUUAAAAAGGUAAAAUCACAUUUUAUAAAAAACAAUUAAACAUUAAAUUAACAGAUUAAGUAAAUUUAGCUCAGUGACAAUUUUCUUCUCCACCUAAACUAUUAAUCUUAAUAAUCUUGAACAAAGAACAAAAAAAUUAAAGCAAAUCAUUUCAAAAACAAAAAAGAAAUGAAUGAAUGUAUAGGGCCAGGUAUUACAGCGCUUACCCAUACUUCAGAUACUUUUUUCUAAACUCUUAACACAGACUCACACCUACAAAACACAAUUGGCCAAAUGGAUCAUUUUCUUCUCAAAAACACAUUUUGUUAAAUAUAUACUAACUCUUCAUUUCAAAAUAGAACUCAUCUUUCUCUGCACACACUAACUUUACCAAAACACUGGAAAUCUGACUCAAAAUGCAUUUAUUCUGUCAAAGAAUAACACUUGUUUUCACUUCACAAGGAACAUGCAGUCAAUCAAAGUACACCAGGUUUCCAAAUACUGGCUAUUGUUGACAAUACAAAAACUGCAUAGACUUUUAUGUUUCAGUUUUACAGGUAUUUGCAUGCAAAACAUGCAAUCCACUGUUUUUACACUAAACGUCUUGGUUGGGAACUGUAUGUCCACAUGUAAUGUUCACAUUCAAAAGCAUUCCAGUAAAAAGCAAAUAAUUUUUUUUUCCUUUUACUGUUUAUUACAGAAGGUACAGUAGAAAUACUGUUUACAGUAUGAUAGAACAGAAAAAGUUUUACAGUAUUGCUUACAGUCAACAAAAUAUCCAUGAAACACACAAGAGCAUUCUGAACAAAAAAACAACAGCAAAAAGCCCGGAUAAAAAGGGCGGGAACUAAAAAAAGCACAACAUGACUGUAUCUAAUCUCUGCGAUGUUCAGGGUUAGGCCACAUGUUUUCAUCAACAUCGCAUCGGAUAUUAUCCAAAGGCGAUGCACCUGGGAUAAAACCGCUUGGUAUGUCGGAUCCACCCUUGCAGGGACAUCAACUGUGAUGUCCCUGCAGCCAGCAUCCAUGGCUUCAAGGAGGGACAUCUGGUCAUGUGGCUGAUGGUCAUAAACCUUCCACCUCCAUGCAGAAAAGAACUCCUCUAUGGGGUUGAGGAAAGGUGAAUAGGGUGGAAGGAAGAGACGUACCCUUGGGUGGACUUCAAACCAUGUUGUUAUUGCUUGCGAAUGAUGAAGAGCCACAUUGUCCCAGGUGAUUACAAAGGUCCUCAUGUUUUCACCCUCCUGAUACUGCUCUGGAACCAGCAGCUGGUGGAGAGCUGGUUGAGAAAGGCAAGGAGGCGCUUGGUAUUGCAGGGUCCAACCUGACAUCUGUGAAGGAGUAAUCCUGCAUUUGCAAUUGCUGCACACAUGGUAAAGUUUGUGUAAAUGACCUUUAAUAUGCCACAGCAUAUUCUCAAAAUGUGUUGUUUCUAUAGUUAUUUAUUUCAUAAGUAAUCCAUUUGAAUUAACUUGUUUCCUUUUACCGUUAUUUCCUGUUUUUAGGUUGGUGCUUUUAUUUUGAUAGAGUGUAACCGGAAAAGGAAAAAAGGCAGCGGAUAGUUAAGCGUUCGCACGGCACUUUUAAAACAGGUCUAUUAAAAGUGCAAAAAUGUCAGCUAAUGUCUACUAAUAAGUUCGUUUAGCAGGUGCUAAACGAAUGGCGGAUAAGGGCAAAAGGUCUUACGGUGUGUUCAGAGUGUGUUCAAGGUGUCAAAGGUUUUAAUGGAGCAACGUUACCAUCUAUUCAGCUCAAAAAUAAACACUUGUAACCCAUCA